AGCUAGAAAAAAAGUUCUUUGUAUACACAUUGUUUCGUUGGAUUACUUGUAACUCCCCCGUCGUGUCGUACGCAAUAGCAAUUUACUUUUCCACGCUAUGGGCGCCGUGAUAGGCCAACAUUUAAAAAUUAUUUAGGAUAUAUACUAUGUCUACUCCAGUUACUGGUACUGUAAAAUGGUUCAACGAAACUAAAGGCUUCGGUUUCAUCAAACAAGAAAACGGCCCAGACGUUUUCGCACACUUCAGCGCUAUCCAAGGUGACGGUUUCCGUACUCUUGCUGAAGGUCAACAAGUUGAGUUCGUUAUUACUCAAGGCCAAAAAGGCCCUCAAGCUGAAAGCAUCAAAGUAGUAUAAUCUAGUUUUACUUUUUGAUUUCUUAAAAUAGCCAGCGCAAGCUGGCUAUUUUUUU
rnacentral:sRNA from 1 species